rnacentral:rRNA from 1 species
AUUACUAAAUUAUUAAUAGAUUUGUUCUUUAAAUUUAAAGGAUUUGGCGGUAAUUUAUCUAUUCAGAGGAACCUGCCCUUUAAUUGAUAAACCACAAGUAAUUUUACUUUUAUUUUUGCUUAUAUACCUCUAUCAUUGAAUAUCUUUAGAAAGAAUGAUUUUCUAAUAGAUUUUUUAAUCUUAAUGUUAGGUCAAGGUUUAGUAAUAUAAAAGUCUGUGGUGGGUUACAAUUUUUAUAUAAGAGGAUAUGUUUAAUGGAUAUAACUUUGAAUUUGGAUUUGAUAGUAAAAGUUUUUUGGUUAAAACUUUGAUUUUGUAAUAAAUUAAGCACACAUCGCCCGUCGCUCUUA